GUAGUCAUCUGGAAAAGCAGUCCAUGGGGUCAAUGUUCUAAUCUUUUCUCCUUGACACCCACUUUAUAGGUCAUAGCCCGUUCACCUCCGCUAUCUCAUGAAGGGUUGCCCAAAAUGUUUGGCCCCUGUUCCUGAUGCAGCGGUGGGAACAGAUACACUUCCUUCAAGAGGCUGACCCAUGGUCAAGGACACGCUCAAAAGUCCAACUUGCUAAUCCAUGACAUUGGUCAAGUUUUCUAACUCUUCUGGGCUUCAGUUUCCAAAGAGAAAAAAAAAUACUUUUCUUAAAGAAUCAUUUAGGGAAUAAAUAAGGCAAUCUAUGAAGAACGUUUGGGACGCUGCCUCAGGUACCAUAAGCUCUCAUCAGCAUUGGCUCAUUAUCGUUCGCCUGUGCUGGGACACGAAUUGGUACCUGCUCUUGGAGAGCAGUUGGGCAGCAUCUAUCAGAAUGUCUGUAUGCUUUGGGCUCAGGAGCUGCUGUUUGCAGAGUCUCUGGAAUUCAAAGCUUGGCCUGUGAGUCACCUGCCCGGCGCCCCUACCCAGUGCCUCCUGACCCCGCCUUCCUGCCUGUGCCUGUGGUGGGGUGCGACUACCAGCACUGAACACGAACAACGGCCAUCUGAAAAACACAAAAGGAAAAAUACCAAAUACAAAAUCGUUGUGAUGAAUGCCACCAAAUCAUCUCCCAUCCCACAGAGAAGGGAAUCGAGGAAAUCUGCCUGGCUUUGUGGCUGGGGACUGGAGAUGGACAGCGAGUGAAAACAGGCUUUCUAUUUUUACUCUGAAAACUUCUUUUUGUUUCUUUGAAUCAUUUGUAAAAAUAUUUUAAUGUUAUCUUCUGUAAUUAAAAGACACUGAUUAAAAAACAGUAACGGGGGGCUGGGCUGAGGCUCAGCGCUAGUGCACUUGGUCGGCAUGUGUGAGGCUGGGUUUCAGUAUAAAUAAACAGAAUAAAGGUCUAUCAACA
rnacentral:lncRNA from 1 species